AAACAUGCAAGUCGAACGAGGUAGCAAUACCUAGUGGCGAACGGCGAAGUAAUACAUGAACAACCUGCCUUAAGGCUUGGGAUAUACAGAGGAAACUCUGGGUAAUACCAAAUGUGACCAUUCUGCGGCAUCGUAGGAUGAUUAAAGGUUUUUCGCUUUAAGAGGGGUUCAUGGCCUAUCAGGUAGUUGGGAGGGUAAUGGCCUACCAAGCCGACGACGGGUAGCGGGUCUGAGAGGAUGAUCCGCUCGAGUGGGACUGAGACACGGCCCACACACCUACGGGUGGCAGCAGUUGGGAAUCUUGCGCAAUGGGGGAAACCCUGACGCAGCGACGUCGCGUGGAGGAUGAAGGAUCUAGGUCUGUAAACUCCUUUUUCAGGGAAAGACUUAGGACGGUACCCUGAGAAUAAGCACCGGCUAACUACGUGCCAGCAGCCGCGGUAAGACGUAGGGUGCAAGCGUUGUCCGGAUUUACUGGGCGUAAAGGGCGCGUAGGCGGUCUGUUAAGUGUAGAGUGAAAUCUCCAGGGCUCAACCCGGAAACUGCUCUGCAUACUGGCAGACUUGAGGGACGAAGAGGUAUGUGGAAUUCCUGGUGUAGCGGUGAAAUGCGUUGAUAUCAGGAGGAACACCCAUGGCGAAGGCAGCAUACUGGUCGUUUCCUGACGCUGAGGCGCGAAAGCGUGGGUAGCAAACAGGAUUAGAUACCCUGGUAGUCCACGCCCUAAACGAUGGAUACUAGGCGUCGGAGGUAUCGACCCCUCCGGUGCCGCAGCUAACGCAUUAAGUAUCCCGCCUGGGGACUACGGCCGCAAGGUUGAAACUCAAAUGAAUUGACGGGGACCCGCACAAGCGGUGGAGCAUGUGGUUUAAUUCGAUACUAACCGAAGAACCUUACCCAGAUUUGACAUCGAUGGCAAGCCUUCGAAAGGAGGCCCUCCCCACAAGGGACCUGAAGACACUUGUGGCAUGGCUGUCGUCAGCUCGUGCC
rnacentral:rRNA from 1 species